rnacentral:rRNA from 1 species
AUUGAACGCUGGCGGCAUGCCUUACACAUGCAAGUCGAACGGCAGCACGGGUGCUUGCACCUGGUGGCGAGUGGCGAACGGGUGAGUAAUACAUCGGCACAUGUCCUGUAGUGGGGGAUAGCCCGGCGAAAGCCGGAUUAAUACCGCAUACGAUCUACGGAUGACAGCGGGGGACCUUCGGGCCUCGCGCUAUAGGGUUGGCCGAUGGCUGAUUAGCUAGUUGGUGGGGUAAAGGCCUACCAAGGCGACGAUCAGUAGCUGGUCUGAGAGGACGACCAGCCACACUGGGACUGAGACACGGCCCAGACUCCUACGGGAGGCAGCAGUGGGGAAUUUUGGACAUUGGGCGAAAGCCUGAUCCAGCAAUGCCGCGUGUGUGAAGAAGGCCUUCGGGUUGUAAAGCACUUUUGUCCGGAAAGAAAUCCUUGGCCCUAAUACGGUCGGGGGAUGACGGUACCGGAAGAAUAAGCACCGGCUAACUACGUG